CUUCACACGUCAUACAAUGGUCGGUACAGAGGGUUGCCAACCCGCGAGGGGGAGCUAAUCCCACAAAGCCGAUCGUAGUCCGGAUCGCAGUCUGCAACUCGACUGCGUGAAGUCGGAAUCGCUAGUAAUCGUGGAUCAGCAUGUCACGGUGAAUACCGGUUCCCGGGUCUU
rnacentral:rRNA from 1 species